rnacentral:rRNA from 1 species
GACGAACGCUGGCGGCGUGCUUAACACAUGCAAGUCGAACGGAAAGGCCCUGCUUUUGUGGGGUGCUCGAGUGGCGAACGGGUGAGUAACACGUGAGUAACCUGCCCUUGACUUUGGGAUAACUUCAGGAAACUGGGGCUAAUACCGGAUAGGAGCUCCUGCUGCAUGGUGGGGGUUGGAAAGUUUCGGCGGUUGGGGAUGGACUCGCGGCUUAUCAGCUUGUUGGUGGGGUAGUGGCUUUCCAAGGCUUUGACGGGUAGCCGGCCUGGGAGGGUGACCGGCCAAAUUGGGACUGGGAUACGGCCCCGACUCCUACGGGAGGCAGCAGUGGGGAAUAUUGCACAAUGGGCGGAAGCCUGAUGCAGCAACGCCGCGUGCGGGAUGACGGCCUUCGGGUUGUAAACCGCUUUCGCCUGUGACGAAGCGUGAGUGACGGUAAUGGGUAAAGAAGCACCGGCUAACUACGUG